GGUUGUGGCUCAAUGGUAGAGCACUCACCUCACAUGUGCGAGGCCCUGGGUUCGAUCCUCGGCACCA
rnacentral:tRNA from 1 species